rnacentral:rRNA from 1 species
UACGAGGGGGGCAAGCGUUGUUCGGAAUUAUUGGGCGUAAAGGGUGCGUAGGCGGUUUGGUAAGUCUCUUGUGAAAUCUAUGGGCUCAACUCAUAGUCUGCAAGGGAAACUGCCGGGCUUGAGUGUGGGAGAGGUGAGUGGAAUUUCCGGUGUAGCGGUGAAAUGCGUAGAUAUCGGAAGGAACACCUGUGGCGAAAGCGGCUCACUGGACCACAACUGACGCUGAUGCACGAAAGCUAGGGGAGCAAACAGG